GUAGACGCAUGCGCAUGCACACACAGGGGACCGCCCUACAAGUCCGCUGGCGCCCAACCAGCAGGAGUUGUCCACAUAUGUGACAAGCCAAAGAGGAAAGACAAAAGCCCAACCUGUGAGGAAGAUGUGGCUGCAAGACUUCAGAUGGCAUUGUUUGUUGGACAACAAGAUGGGGGUGAAGUGCACACCUACAGAGGCCCAGAAAGCACUGUCCACUGAACGUCAAGAUUUGCUUUCACCGUGGCUGCAGAAAGGAACCAUCUGAGUGAUUGAUCACAGAAGCAAAAGUUCCCUCCUAAGAAAACAGGCAGAGACGCCGUACACCCUUCCUGAUCCUCAGGGUUGACCUGAUAUCCUUGCUGGUGGGCAGUUUAUAGUUUAGAAGAGGGUUGGCAAACUUGUUCUGUAAAGGGAAGAUAUUAACUGUGUCAGGCUUUGCAAGGAUUUUUGUCUCGGUUGCAACUGGUCAACCCUGCU